rnacentral:misc_RNA from 1 species
CAAUCCGGGAUUUCAACUCGGCGAUCCGCCGCUCAAGCAUGUCACGGUGUGCAGCGGACAUCUCCUGCCGGCGCGACGGAGCUGAUUGCGGAUCGAUUCCAACGGCUGCCCGCAGUGCCGGUGGGCCCUAGACCGCACCGCAAGGAAGGUUGCCUCGCUCAGCGCCUCCUGUGAAUCGCGCCAGGCAUCCAGCGCAUGAACGAUCUGCCUGGAAACCUGCUCCUGAAAGGCAAUAAAAGGAUUGUCUUUCGAAGC